GCGGAUAUGGUUGAAUGGUAAAAUUUCUCUUUGCCAAGGAGAAGUAGCGGGUUCGAUUCCCGCUAUCCGCCCA
rnacentral:tRNA from 1 species